rnacentral:rRNA from 1 species
GAUAAACGCUGGCGGCGUGCCUAAUACAUGCAAGUCGAUCGGUGGAUUGCCAGCUUGCUGGUAAGAAGCAGAGGCGAACGGGUGAGUAAUACAUAAGCAACCUGCCCACGAAGACUGAGAUAAUCCCUGGAAACGGGGACUAAUACCGGAUAGGUAACGGAGAGGAAUCUUUCUGUUAUUAAAGGUUAAAAACACUGGGGGAUGGGCGUAUGGCGUAUUCGCUUGUUGGUGAGGUAACGGCUCACCAAGGCGAUGAUGCGUAGCCGGCCUGGGAGGGUGAACGGCCACAUUGGGACUGAGACACGGCCCAGACUCCUACGGGAGGCAGCAGUAGGGAAUUUUCGGCAAUGGAGGAAACUCUGACCGAGCAACGCCGCGUGAGUGAAGACGGCCUUCGGGUUGUAAAGCUCUGUUGUAAGGGAAGAAAGACAGCGAGAGAAUCGCUGGUUGACGGUACCUUACCAGAAAGCCACGGCUAACUACGUGCCAGCAGCCGCAGUAAUAC